AAACGGUUGAUUCGUCCUGUGAGCGGAAAUUGGUGGUUAAAUAGCAUGAACUAUCCUAGAAAACAAAAUAUCUGGGAUGGCGAAGC
ncrna:unclassified sequences RAGATH-28 RNA